UACGUAGGGGGCUAGCGUUGUCCGGAAUCAUUGGGCGUAAAGCGCGUGUAGGCGGUCCGGUAAGUCCGCUGUGAAAGUCGGGGGCUCAACCCUCGAAUGCCGGUGGAUACUGUCGGGCUAGAGUACGGAAGAGGCGAGUGGAAUUCCUGGUGUAGCGGUGAAAUGCGCAGAUAUCAGGAGGAACACCAAUUGCGAAGGCAGCUCGCUGGGACGCUACUGACGCUGAGACGCGAAAGCGUGGGGAGCAAACAGG
rnacentral:rRNA from 1 species